AUUGAACGCUGGCGGCAGGCCUAACACAUGCAAGUCGAGCGGGGUUUUCGGACCUAGCGGCGGACGGGUGAGUAAUGCGUAGGAAGCUGCCCGAUAGAGGGGGAUACCAGUUGGAAACGACUGUUAACACCGCAUAAUGUCUACGGACCAAAGUGUGGGACCUUCGGGCCACAUGCUAUCGGAUGCGCCUACGUGGGAUUAGCUAGUUGGUGAGGUAAUGGCUCACCAAGGCGACGAUCUCUAGCUGGUUUGAGAGGAUGAUCAGCCACACUGGAACUGAGACACGGUCCAGACUCCUACGGGAGGCAGCAGUGGGGAAUAUUGGACAAUGGGCGCAAGCCUGAUCCAGCCAUGCCGCGUGUGUGAAGAAGGCCUUCGGGUUGUAAAGCACUUUCAGCGAGGAGGAAGGGGUGUGUGUUAAUAGUACACACCUUGACGUUACUCGCAGAAGAAGCACCGGCUAACUCUGUGCCAGCCGCCGCCGCGGUAA
rnacentral:rRNA from 1 species